AGUGAACGCUGGCGGUAGGCCUAACACAUGCAAGUCGAACGGCAGCACAGUAAGAGCUUGCUCUUACGGGUGGCGAGUGGCGGACGGGUGAGGAAUACAUCGGAAUCUACUUUUUCGUGGGGGAUAACGUAGGGAAACUUACGCUAAUACCGCAUACGACCUACGGGUGAAAGCAGGGGAUCUUCGGACCUUGCGCGAUUGAAUGAGCCGAUGUCGGAUUAGCUAGUUGGCGGGGUAAAGGCCCACCAAGGCGACGAUCCGUAGCUGGUCUGAGAGGAUGAUCAGCCACACUGGAACUGAGACACGGUCCAGACUCCUACGGGAGGCAGCAAUGGGGAAUAUUGGACAAUGGGCGCAAGCCUGAUCCAGCCAUACCGCGUGGGUGAAGAAGGCCUUCGGGUUGUAAAGCCCUUUUGUUGGGAAAGAAAAGCAGCAGGUUGAUACCCCGCUGUUCUGACGGUACCCAAAGAAUAAGCACCGGCUAACUUCGUG
rnacentral:rRNA from 1 species